GACGAACGCUGGCGGCGUGCUUAACACAUGCAAGUCGAGCGGUAAGGCCCUUUCGGGGGUACACGAGCGGCGAACGGGUGAGUAACACGUGGGUGACCUGCCCUCAGCUCUGGGAUAAGCCUGGGAAACUGGGUCUAAUACCGGAUAUGACUCCAUGACGCAUGUUGUGGGGUGGAAAGCCUUGUGCGGCUGAGGAUGGGCCCGCGGCCUAUCAGCUUGUUGGNGGGGUGAGGCCUACCAAGGCGACGACGGGUAGCCGGCCUGAGAGGGCGACCGGCCACACUGGGACUGAGACACGGCCCAGACUCCUACGGGAGGCAGCAGUGGGGAAUCUUGCGCAAUGGGCGAAAGCCUGACGCAGCGACGCCGCGUGAGGGAUGACGGCCU
rnacentral:rRNA from 1 species